rnacentral:rRNA from 1 species
UACGUAGGGGGGCUAGCGUUGUCCGGAAUCAUUGGGCGUAAAGCGCGCGUAGGCGGCCCGGUAAGUCCGUUGUGAAAGUCAAAGGCUCAACCUUUGAACGCCGAUGGAUACUGCCGGGCUAGAGUCCGGAAGAGGCGAGUGGAAUUCCUGGUGUAGCGGUGGAAUGCGCAGAUAUCAGGAGGAACACCAAUAGCGAAGGCAGCUCGCUGGGACGGUACUGACGCUGAGGAGCGAAAGCGUGGGGAGCGAACAGG